UACAGAGGGUGCAAACGUUGUUCGGAAUUACUGGGCGUAAAGCGCGUGCAGGCGGCCUUGCAAGUCGGACGUGAAAUCCCACGGCUCAACCGUGGAAGUGCAUUCGAAACUGCGAGGCUGGAGUCCUGGAGAGGAAGGUGGAAUACUCGGUGUAGAGGUGAAAUUCGUAGAUAUCGAGUGGAACACCGGUGGCGAAGGCGGCCUUCUGGACAGGUACUGACGCUCAGACGCGAAAGCGUGGGGAGCAAACAGG
rnacentral:rRNA from 1 species